rnacentral:rRNA from 1 species
GAUGAACGCUGGCGGCGUGCCUAAUACAUGCAAGUCGAGCGAACAGACGAGGAGCUUGCUCCUCUGACGUUAGCGGCGGACGGGUGAGUAACACGUGGAUAACCUACCUAUAAGACUGGGAUAACUUCGGGAAACCGGAGCUAAUACCGGAUAACAUGUUGAACCGCAUGGUUCAACAGUGAAAGACGGUCUUGCUGUCACUUAUAGAUGGAUCCGCGCCGCAUUAGCUAGUUGGUAAGGUAACGGCUUACCAAGGCAACGAUGCGUAGCCGACCUGAGAGGGAGAUCGGCCACACUGGAACUGAGACACGGUCCAGACUCCUACGGGAGGCAGCAAUAGGGAAUCUUCCGCAAUGGGCGAAAGCCUGACGGAGCAACGCCGCGUGAGUGAAGAAGGUCUUCGGAUCGUAAAACUCUGUUAUUAGGGAAGAACAAAUGUGUAAGUAACUAUGCACGUCUUGACGGUACCUAAUCAGAAAGCCACGGCUAACUACGUG